UUCUUAUGAUCCAUCGACCAUGUCUAACUCAACAGUCGGCAGUCUUCCGGUAUAAUCGGGCGUCAUGUCGCUCCAUCAAUCACGACAACGUCUACCUCCAGAUGGCAUUCUCGAAGUCAGUCCGGUCUUUAUCGUGAUCUGGCAUUAGUUGAUGUGGGGCAUUUCAUAUAGGAGCAUCGCCCAUCUGACUUUCAUCGGGUGACGGGUUCUCAUAGCAAUCACACGAACAUCCAAUCUCGGCCAAGGACAUUGUGCCUUGCACUCAAAUGCCUCAAUUUCAAAUAAUGUAUUUGGCCUAUUUUCUUCAUAUUAAAAACACCCGGUAAAAUAAUUGUGCGCGGCCAUACGAUGAGAUUGAACCAUAAAAAGUGGUAUCUUUUCUUUUAAAAAUCCCACGAUUUUAUAUUGUACUUAAAACCCUUUUUGGCGUCAAAACCCAAUACCAGGUAUUUUUUCUAAUUAAAUACCAAAAAUCCAUAUUUUUGAAAUAAUAAUUCAAAAAUCAUCAAUCAGCAUCCAAUUGCAUAAAUUAGCACUUAAUUGCACAAAUCAAUAUAACUAUGAUGAUCAGCAUGAAAUUCUAACGACUGGCUAUCCUGGUACAAUUUACACUAAUUAAUAAAUAAUUAAAUUAAACCACUAAUUAAUCUACAUACACUAAUCUAACCACCUAAUAACUAAUUAGACUAAUUAACCAAUCCUACUAACUUAGGCAUAUAAACUAAUUACCACUAAUCUCUAAUUAAACUAAUUAACCCCCUAAUCUCUAAUUAAACUACUAAUCCACUCUUAAGUGUAAUUAGCAUCCUAAUUAGAGUUUAGGACGUAAACUCACCGGUUUAGCGUGAAAACUGGUUCACGGCGAUGGUGGUGCAACGGCGACCACAACUCGGG
rnacentral:lncRNA from 1 species